GAUGAACGCUGGCGGCGUGCCUAAUACAUGCAAGUCGAGCGGCAGCGCGGUCUUCGGACUGGCGGCGAGCGGCGGACGGCUGAGUAACGCGUAGGAACGUACCCCAAAGUGAGGGAUAACUGCUCGAAAGAGUAGCUAAUACCGCAUGUGGUCUACGGAUUAAAGGAUUUAUCCGCUUUGGGAACGGCCUGCGUAUGAUUAGUUUGUUGGUGAGGUAAAAGCUUACCAAGGCGAUGAUCAUUAGCUGGUCUGAGAGGAUGAUCAGCCAGACUGGGACUGAGACACGGCCCAGACUCCUACGGGAGGCAGCAGUAGGGAAUUUUCCACAAUGGGCGAAAGCCUGAUGGAGCAACGCCGCGUGCAGGAUGAAUGCCUUAGGGUUGUAAACUGCUUUUAUAUGUGACGAAUAUGACGGUAGCAUAUGAAUAAGGAUCGGCUAACUCCGUGCCAGCAGCCGCGGUAA
rnacentral:rRNA from 1 species